AGCCAGAGCUUGGGAUCGCUUUCUGCUAUUCAACGUCCUCCACCUCUGCCCCCCUCUCGCCCCAGCCGGUGACAGGCUGUUGCCCUGUGAUCUGCAGGUCCUGGGACGUGCACAGACAGCUAAGAUGCCAGGACAUUCCAGAAGGUGGGAAAGGCACCUGAGUAAUUUGACUCUCCUGCCUGGACCCAGCGUACAGAUGGGAUUGUGCUUCAUUGCUGGACCCAGCAUUUAGGCCCACUACCUAUGAGAUUGCAUGCUCCUGCCUGGGCUGUGCCCACAGUGACCUUGUGACAUAUAUCUGCAUCCAUGACCUAAAAGAUGUGACACUUCUUGCCUGCAACCUGCCCUGCACAGGAAAGAUUGCGACUUCUCCCUGGAAGCAGACACCAGGAGAGAACUGUAACAUAUCCCUGGAUGAGCACCCAGGUGAUGUGAUAUUCCUGCUUGGUUCUUUCCCUCAGGGAAGAUUGUGAGAUACCCUUGGCUGAAAUCCCAGGGAUCGUCACUCCCGUGGAUGAUCAAAGGCGCCUGUAAUUUCAGCUACUCCGGGGGCUGAGGCAGGAGAAUCGCUUGAACUCGGGAAGCAGAAGUUGCAGUGAGCCAAGGUCGCACCACUGCACUCCAGCCCAGGCGACAUUGUGAGACUCCAUCUCAAAAAAAAAAAAAAGAAAAAAAGUGUACUAACAAGACCCAGCACACAGAGGAGACUUUUACCAUUGUAUGAACACCCAUCAAACAGUACACAUCAUCAUUGUGAGUUCUGAAUCUCACACAUAGAGGAAGUCAAAGGUGGAAAACUUGACUCUCAUAUUUGGAUCCAGUCCACAGGUUCUGCUAGCAAGGAAGACUGAGACAUAUUGUGGGGCUCUACGCCAAUGUGACAUUACUGUUCUGCCUUGGCCUGUACCUGAAAAGGCAUUGUGACAUAUUGCUGGGCCCAGCAACAAGGUGGCAUGAGUCUUCCGUAUGGACCCUGACAACAGAGCAUUGUGACAUAUCUUUAAGAGCAUCAACUAUUUGAUGUGACUCUCCUUUUCUACCAAGGCUUUCCUCAUAUGAGAGAUUGUGACACAUCUUCUGGCACAGAAAUCAAGUGAUGUGUUUCUCCUGCCUGAGCUUUGCUCAUAGAAAGCAUUGUGACAUAUCUCUGGUCUCAGCACCCAGGUGUGAUUUUGACGCACACUUCUGCCCAGCACCUGAGUAAUGUGAUUCUUCAGAAUUGGCCCGGCCCACAAAUAGGAUUGUGCCACACUGCUGGACCCAGUGCCUAAGUGAUGUAACUCUAUUCUUCUGCCUUGGUGCUACUCGAAAAAGACAUUGUAACAUAUCUCAGAGCCUUACACCCAGGUAAUGUGAGUCUCCUCUUCUGCCUUGCUGCUGCACACAGAAGCGGAAUAUGUACAGGAUUGUUAAUCUCAUCUUGGAUCUUCCUGCACUUGUGAUUGUGACACAUGCCUCUGUGUAGAACCUGAGUGAGUUUACUCUCCUGCCUGGAUUUAACCCAUAGAUGGAAUCGUGACAUAUCACUGUACCAGAAACUAGGUGAUGUGACUCUAUUUUCUUGCCUCUGUGUUUUUAUAUGGGGCAUCGUGACAUAUCACUGGGCCUUGCACCCAAGUGAUGGGAGUUUUCUCUCCUGCUUUGGUGCCGUCCACAAUGAAAAUUGUGAAAUAUUGCUGCCCUCCCCACUAGGUUAUGUUACUCUCCUGCCUCUGCUUUGCCCACAUGGGUCACUGUGACAUAUUGCUGGGUCUAAAACCCAGGUAAUGUCACUCUCUUGUUUGGGUUCUGCCUGCAGGAGUCAUUGUCACAUAUCUCUAUGCUCAUCACCCAGGUAAUAUGAUUCCCUUUUACUGCUUAGUUCCUUCUCACAAAACAACUUGUGACAUAUUGCUAGGCCCAAUACACCUAGCUGGUGUAACUCUUCUUUUCUUUUCUUUCCUUUUUUUUUUUUUUUUUUUGAGAUGGAGUCUCACUCUGUUGCCCAGGCUGGAGUGCAGCGGCAUGAUUUCAGCUCACUACAGCCUCUGCCUCCUAGGUUGAAGCGAUUGUCCUGACUUGGCCUCCCAAGUAGCUGGGAUUAAAGGCAUGUGCCACCACGCCCGGCUAAUUUUUGUAUUUAUAGUAGAGACAGGGUUUCGCCAUGUUGGCUAGGCUGGUUUCGAACUUCUAACCUCAGGUGAUCCUCCUGCCUCGGCCUCCCAAAGUACUGGAAUUACAGGCAUGAGCCACUGCACCUGGCCUGAUUCUUCUCUUCUUUCUAGGUUUCAACUGCAGCAGAGAUUGUAACAAACCACUGGGCCCAGCCGCAUAAUGAUGUUACUCUUUUGCCUUGGGCCUGCCCUCAGAAGGCACUGUCACAUAUUCAUGGGCCCAACGCCAAGGUGAUAUGUGUCUCCAGCCUGGACCCUGCCCACAGGGGGCAUUGUGACAUAUCUCUUGGCCCAUCAGAUGUUUGAUUGUUAUCCCCUCCCCUCUUCUACCCUGUGUUUGCCUAUAAAAGACACAGUCAUAUGUUCCUGGGCCCAGCACCUAGGUGUUGUCUUACUGGAAUGUGUCCACAUGGGGAUUGUGAUAUGUCACGUGGCCCAGUACUUAACUUGAUGUGACUCUCCUCUCAUGCCUAGGCCUUGUAGAGAAUCCCCUUCCCCUUUUGUUUUCCUUUUUUUCUUUGCAGAUCCAGGAGAUAAUCAACUAAGAGCCAGGCACCCGUUUAGGUCUAAUAAACAUUUUACAAACUGCUCUCUCUUUUAAUUCACCUAUCUGAGAGAUUCCUCUGUACAAUAAAACUUGGUCUCCACAAUCCUUUACCUUAACCUAAACCUUCCCUUUCAUUGAUCCCAGGUCUUCAGAUUCCACCACUUGUCAACCACAAAAUAUUUAAAUUUACCUGGAAGCCGCCCGCUUUGAGUUGUCCCGCCUUUCUGAACCAAACCAAUAUAUUCCUGCAAAACCGGCCAUGAUUAAAACAUCAAAAAAUAAUACAUGUUGGCGUGGCUGUGGUGAAAAAAGAAUACUUUUUCACUGCUGGUGGGUAUGUAAACUAGUACAACCACUAUGAAAAACAGUAUGGAGAUUCAUUAAAUAAAAGUAAAGCUACCAUUUGAUUAAGCAAUUCUACUACUGUGUAUCUACAUGAAGAAAAAGAAAUUAUAUGUGUAAGACACUUGCACACACAUGUUUAUAGCAGCACAAUUUGCAAUUGCAAAAAUAUGGAAGCAGCCUAAUGCCCAUCAGCUAAUGAGUGGAAAAAGAAAAUGUGGCAUAUAUAUACCAAUGCAUACUACUCAGCCCUAACGAGGAAUAAAAUAAUAGCAUUUGCAGCAAUCUCGAUUUAGUUGGAGACCAUUAUUCUAAGUAACUCAGCAAUAAAAAA
rnacentral:lncRNA from 1 species